rnacentral:rRNA from 1 species
AUGUUGCAAAGACACAUAAAGGAAGCUUUGACACAUAAGACAAACCUCCUAGGUCAAGUGGUAGCUAUUGUUGGAAAGAGGUGGGAUAAUCAGAUGGAACAAAAGCUACAUGGGGCUACUUUCUUCUUGAACCCAAAUAAAUUCUUUGUCAUUAAGGUGCCCAACAAAAGACAAGCUUCCCGUCUCCGUUCAAUGUUCAGUGGUGUGCUAUGGAAGAUGGUGUCCGAUGAUGAGCAACAAACAACUAUAAGUAGGGAAACUGACGACUAUGAGCUGGCGGAAGGUGAAUGUUUGUCGAAACCAUUGUCAAUUAAAGACCGUGACAAAAAAAAGCCCCCGUCAGAAUAA